rnacentral:rRNA from 1 species
GGUAGUCGCAUAGCGGCGGGACUACACAUGCAAGUCGUAGCAAGGUAACCAAGCUUGCUCCGCUGACGACCGGCGCACGGGUGCGCACCGCGUAUGGAACCUACCUUGUACAGGGGAAUAGCCCAGGGAAACUUGGAUUAAUGCCCCGUGGUACCAUGACCCGGCAUCGGGAUAUGGUUAAAGCCUUCGGGCGGUACAAGAUGGCCAUGCGUCCCAUUAGUUUGUUGGUAAGGUAACGGCUUACCAAGACUACGAUGGGUAGGGGCCCUGAGAGGGGGAUCCCCCACACUGGUACUGAGACACGGACCAGACUCCUACGGGAGGCAGCAGUGAGGAAUAUUGGACAAUGGAGGAGACUCUGAUCCAGCCAUGCCGCGUGCAGGAAGAAUGCCCUAUGGGUAGUAAACUGCUUUUAUACGGGAAGAAAAAGAGCUACGUGUAGCUUACUGACGGUACCGUAAGAAUAAGGACCGGCUAACUCCGUGCCAGCAGCCGCGGUAAUACGGAGGGUCCGAGCGUUAUCCGGAAUUAUUGGGUUUAAAGGGUCCGUAGGCGGGCCGAUAAGUCAGGGGUGAAAGUCUGCCGCUCAACGGUAGAACUGCCUUUGAUACUGUCGGUCUUGAGUUAUAGUGAAGUUGCCGGAAUAUGUAGUGUAGCGGUGAAAUGCAUAGAUAUUACAUAGAACACCGAUUGCGAAGGCAGGUGACUAACUAUAUACUGACGCUGAUGGACGAAAGCGUGGGGAGCGAACAGGAUUAGAUACCCUGGUAGUCCACGCCGUAAACGAUGGAUACUAGCUGUCCGGAACCUUGAGUUCUGGGCGGCCAAGCGAAAGUGAUAAGUAUCCCACCUGGGGGAGUACGUUCGCAAGAAUGAAACUCAAAAGGAAUUGACGGGGGCCCGCACAAGCGGUGGAGCAUGUGGUUUAAUUCAAUGAUACCCCAAGGAACCUUACCAAGGCCUUAAAAUGCAUAUUUGACAAGGUCUAAAAGAUAGAAUUUUCCUUUCGGGGCAAUUUGGCAAGGGGGCUGCAAGGGUUGG